rnacentral:lncRNA from 1 species
CUUCCAUUUCAUGAGAUCAGGAAGACUUCUAUUCUCUUCCAAGCUCUGGUGCUGGGAAACCUGGUUCAUGUCCCAUCCUCCAAAGGGGAAAUCCUGGCACAGGAAGCACAUACAGCAUACUGGGCAAGCUGAAAUGGAUAUGUCUUCUUGGUUCAUAUAAAUAAUAAGGGCCCCAAAGCGUUUAUGCCACAAGGUAAAGGAGAAAGGCGAUUUCUCCAAUAAAUAAAAAUAGAUUGGAAGAAAGAUUGGGACAGCCAAGAGAGGCAGCUAGCCACAGAGCCCAAUCAGUUGAGGUCUUUAAUGUGCGUGGAGGAGACUCCUCAUUAUUCAUGAAUCUUGCUGAUGCACAAACCCUAUAAGGAGCUGCUGUUUCCCUGUCAGCCCAAGAAGUGCUAAGUGGAACAAGAGUCCAGUGCAACAGUGCUAUGAUCUGUCUCAGUGUUGGUGCUGAGUCUGUCUAAGCCCUGGAGCAAGUUAAGCACUUCCUUGGUGUGGACAAAGAAUAAAGGGAAAAGAAACUACUUUAAAACCUCUUUUCCUCCCAAUUUAUGUUUUGAUACGCAAACCAGAAAAUCCCAAGGAAAUUGCUUUCUAGUCAUUAAAACCACUAUCUGCAUUAUUCAGUUACUUUCUUCACCCACCUCAAACGCCCAUCUAACCCAGGAUUCCCUCACUCUUCUUAGUUACUGAUCAUUUUAUGAAAAUAAUGUAAUUAUAAGUAUUUUCUGAAGGUUUGUGAAGAGUAUUUGCAUUGUGUCUUCAUUUUAAUGUGUGCAAUCCCUAUGCUCCAAGAACCAAAAGCUGUCUUGUGAGCAUCAAGUGAACAGGCUGUUUUGCUCCAGCCACUUUCUUGUACAACACCACGG